rnacentral:sRNA from 2 species
GGAAAGUGUGUCUAGGGUUCCGCGUGCUUCGGCACGGACUGGUCCAAGUGACACAGACGCAUUCGUGCGUUACACCGGAGGGAUAGAAGCCCAGGCGGG